rnacentral:rRNA from 1 species
AUUGAACGCUGGCGGCAUGCCUUACACAUGCAAGUCGAACGGCAGCACGGGAGCAAUCCUGGUGGCGAGUGGCGAACGGGUGAGUAAAGUAUCGGAACGUGCACAGUCGUGGGGGAUAACGUCGCGAAAGUUACGCUAAUACCGCAUACGAUCUAAGGAUGAAAGCGGGGGAUCGAAAAACCUAGCCCGAUUCGAGCGGCCGAUACCGGAUUAGGUAGUUGGUGGGGUAAAGGCUCCCCAAGCCGACGAUCUGCAGCUGGUCUGAGAGGACGACCAGCCACACUGGGACUGAGACACAGCCCAGACUCCUACGUGAGGCAGCAGUGGGGAAUUUUGGACAAUGGGCGCAAGCCUGAUCCAGCCAUGCCGCGUGCAGGAUGGAGGCCUUCGGGUUGUAGACUGCUUUUGUACGGAACGAAAAGGUUUGGCCUAAUACGCUGAACUCAUGACGGUACCGUAAGAAUAAGCACCGGCUAACUACGUGCCAGCCGCCGCUGUAA